rnacentral:lncRNA from 1 species
AUGAGACCAAAUGCAUGCAAAUUACUGCUCGUGUUUCUGUUGGUGGUAAGGAUGGUCUACAUGGAAUUGAAAAAAAGAGAGCUGAAGAAUGAGAAUUCUAUUAACAUAUUUCCAACCUUAUCUAGGAGAAAGGGUGCUCUAAUUCUGAUGAUUGAUCCUACUUGUCUAUAUCUGCAAUAUCUGCAAGAGUGGAAAAGAAUAACAAUGAAGCUAUUCUAGUUUAAUGGAAGCAUUCCUUAAGAACAUCCAAAUUUCCCAGCUCUAAUUCUAUGCUCAUCACAUUGCUGAUCUAGUAUUCGGUUUUCAGAAUAAAUUCACCCACCAGAAAGAUAAACCCUGUGCA